rnacentral:tRNA from 1 species
UGGCUCAGUUGGUAGAGCAUGGUGUUUGCAACACCAAGGUUGUGGGUUCAAUUCCUGC